ensembl:lncRNA GLIDR glioblastoma down-regulated RNA
CUCUAACUCCUCCCACUGAGAUGACCCAUAGUACCCCAUUCCUUGCUGCAAUGUAAUUAUAUUUAAUUACAAGUGUGCCCCUGGUAGUCUUUAACUGAAGGGCACUGACUGGGUCACUGGUGAAGUUCCCCGCAGGAACUGAGUCAGACCCCAUCUCAGGGCCCUGCACAAGAUAGGUGCCUGCUCUAAGGCGUGGACCCUCGCCACAGCCCUGGCCCGUCUUGACGGGCGAGGGUUACUGUACUUGUCCCAACCGUACAGAUGAGAAAGCUGAGACUCAGGGCCAGCAACCCGGGUCCCAGCGGAGCGCCCGGCACACGCCGACACUUCAGCACCAGUGGCGGUGGCCACCACUGUGGGCGGAGAUGGCUGCGACGCGUGCGCAGAUCUCGAUCCCAAACUCCCUCCUGCCAGAAUCUGGACCCGAAUCCACCCAUUGCCCGUUUUCCGCUGCCGCUGGAGAGAAUCUCUGAGGUCCCCAGGAGAGCCUGCCUGCACGGAAGAGACGCCUCCUCGAUACCUGGGAGAGAGGAUUUUUCAUGUUACCAACACAAAGAAAUGAUAAAGGUUUGAGGUCAUGGGCAUGCUAAUUACCCUGAUUUGAUCAUUAUACAUUUUAUACAUCUACUGAAAUAUCCCACUGUACCCCAUAAAUAUGUACAAUUAUUAUGUGUCAAGUAAAAUAUGAAUAUAUAUAGUAAAUAAAUAAAUGAAGUAAUUUGCCAUUACUUAACAUUUCAUUAAAUGUAUGUUUCCAAAAUUAUAUUUGUUCUUGAGACCUUUUGAGUGAUCACAGUUUCUGCUAUUCUCCAUAAGGCCUCAGUUUGACAGGGUGAUGAAAUCUUGAAUAAAACACAAAGGAAUGUGUUUGUAUUUGCAGUGCUUCCCUUGCAGGUGAAAUGGCCACCAGACCCAGGCUUUCUGGAAUGCAUUCAUUUUCUGCAGUUGAAAGGGACAAUCCCGGAUCUGAAAGAAAGAGCCACAGUGACUCCAAGAGUGGAGCCAGGGCAUGCUGGACACUGCAUAGCUAUGGCCACGUGUGUCACCUCCGAGGGAGAUGUGAGAGAAACGCAGAGGGAUCGCUUGUGACUGUGCCUUCUCGAUGUAUGAUGGACUGUUCUGCUCAAAUAGUAAGUGUGACCAAGGAGCCGGUGAACAUAGGAAACAAAGAAUAUUUCAUUUGACAUUAUAAGGAAUGCGACAAUUCUAGUCACUUGAAAGUGAACUAUAUCUGUCGAGAAUUCCUAGUUUUAAUUGGGAAGAAAUGUGCUUCUCUUCUUGAAAAGCCACAGGUUAUUGCUGUUAUGUCUAAUAUCAGUCCUCUCUGGAUUUCUCAAAAGAUUUUCUGUAUAUCCUACCAUUUUCCUUCUGUUGCUGCAGUUUGGAAGUAGUUUGUUAUCAGGAUUAUCAAAGCAUCAUUGCUAUUUAUGACAAUGACUUUAAGAAAUGCAAGAAUAUUUGGAACACUGUAGAAAAAAUAUUUUAGCCUGGAAGGCAAAUACUAAUUUCAGGAACUAUUGAUCUGUUAUAAAACAGGACCACUCAGACAUUUAGCUCUAAGACUUUCACAUAUCCGUUGUUAGAGGCGUAUAGUGGGGGGCAUGACUCAGCUUCUGCUUAAGUACAAGGUGUUGUCUGCAGCGAAGGAAGAAUUUGAUUGUAGUAUCAACAGAACCAGACAGAACUCUUUGAAUAUAAUUAUAUAUCUUGGAAACUGACUCAUCAAAGCUAUUAGAUUACAUGGCAUCAUUUAAGCAUCACUGGGCUCUGUACUUUUCAUUAUCUGUACUUUUCAUUAUGGAGUAUAAUAGGCUUUAUUUGGUACAGAAAUUGGGUCUAAGAUGAAACAACUUGUGAUUUUUGAAUAAACUUUUGGGGAUUAGUUACUUUGAUGUUGUCAAGAUAGCACCAUAGUAAGUCCUCUGUCUUUCCUCUUGAUUUAUUUAUAAUUUAGAAUCAGUUUAUGAUUUUAAAAAAUGUGACAGACACAGUGGCAUGCACCAGUAGUACCAGCCACAUGGGAAACUGAGGCAGAAGGAUCACUUGAUCCCAGAAGAUAGAGACCACCCUGGGCAACAUAGUGAGAGCCCCAUCUCAAAAAAAAAAAAAAAUCAAUUCCCAAUACCAUUCCAGAACACUUUUAAUAUAACCAGAUGAAAUUGUGAUCACUACUUUACUGUAAUGUUUAAAAUGGUCCUCAGUCCAUAUUUAAGUACAAUCUUAGUGUUUCUGUGCAACCUAAUAUAUUAGAAACAAAAAUUGUAUUGCAUUUGAAUAGGAAAUACUCUGAAUUGAGGGUUAUUUCUUUUAACAGUUGCAAUUAGAUUGGUUAGUGACAAUUAUCUGUAAUUUUCAGGCAAUGCCUAGGCAAGUGCCCAAGGCACAGUAGCCUCCUCCUUGCCUCCGUGUGUGUGUGUGUGUGUGUGUGUGUGUGUGUGUAGGGUGGUAACAUUUCUGGGAAUUUGUCUUAACAUAAAAUGAUACCACCUUUCACAAAACGACCUAGAGGAAGUUGGAAAUCCCACUAUCCUGGCUUCCUGCUGAGCAAUAUCUGCUUCUCUUUCUGACUCAGGCUGAUGCAUCUGUAUACUUAGCUUCACUUCUCCAGUAAAUAAGGGAGAGCUUUAUUAUAAAAGACAACUUCUAUUGAUUUUCAAGGGGGUGGGUGGUUGUCAAGCUCACUCCUUUCUAUGCACUGAGGGAAAAUUAUUGUAAGCGAUCUGUAAAACAAUAGAUGAAAAAAGAGGAGAUAAAAAUUAAAUAAAAUUUAAAUAAAAACUAGGAUCCUAAGUGGAAAAAUAGCUUUAAAUUAGAAAUUGAUACCAAAAAAUAAUGAUAUGUAAUCUAAGGUGAAAAUAUUUUGAAGACUAUCACGAUAUCUCCCUUAAAUGUUAUUUAGUUCUGAAAAAUAUGUAUUGAAGAACUGUUAUAUUUUACUUUAUGUCAUAUUAAGUGUGGUAAAAUUAAAGAGAAACAAGUAGAUAAAAGUAAAGAUUGUAUUAUUAUUUUAUCACUCAGGUUAUUUCAAGA